rnacentral:tRNA from 1 species
GACGUAGCGCAGUUUGGUAGCGCACCUGAUUUGGGAUCAGGAGGCCGCAGGUUCAAAUCCUGUCGUC